GGGCCCGCACAAGCGGAGGAACAUGUGGUUUAAUUCGAUGAUACGCGAGGAACCUUACCCGGGCUCGAACGGCGCAGGAAUCGCGGUGAAAGCCGUGAGCCAGCAAUGGCCUGCGUCGAGGUGCUGCAUGGUUGUCGUCAGCUCGUGCCGUGAGGUGUCGGCUCAAGUGCCAUAACGAGCGCAACCCCCAUCUUCAGUUGCCACCGCGUAGAGGCGGGCACUCUGGAGAGACUGCCGGCGCAAGCUGCGAGGAAGGGGGGGAUGACGUCAAAUCAGCACGGCCCUUACGUCCGGGGCGACACACGUGUUACAAUGGCGGGGCACAGCGGGAAGCGAUGCGGCGACGCACGGCGGACCCCUAAACCCCGUCUCAGUUCGGAUCGGAGUCUGCAACCCGACUCCGUGAAGCUGGAUUCGCUAGUAAUCGCGCAUCAGCCAUGGCGCGGUGAAUACGUUCCCGGGCCUU
rnacentral:rRNA from 1 species